ACCCUUUUUUGAGUCUUAAAUAAAGUUAGAAUUGAAUGGAAUUAAUCGGCUGCUGGCCGUAUCUUUAUAUUUUCCAAACAAAUAGAAGAGCGGUAUCAAUUUUCUUAUCUAACUCUCGCAAAAAAGAAAAUAAGGGAAUUUCCCAAGAUUUCAAGGUUUCCUUUUCAAUAUCCUUUGUAGAGAUGAUAAACCUUUUCAAUAUCAUUAUGGCCUUCCUCUGCUUCCACCCUUGGGCUAAACUUGACAUUUCUUACUUGAUUGUGGCACAAAACUAAAACAGCAAUGUGGUCUCUUCUUUUUUUAUCCACCAUGCAAUGGUUUAUUCUGGUAUGUAAUGUACAGCCUCAUAGGACUGGCUAUUCUUUUUUCCCCAUCAUUUUUUCUUCAUAGUUGAUAUAUCAGUAAUCUCUCUGGUUGUGGCAGAAUUCACCUGCAGCACCGUAUUGAAGAUGAGGAGCAGUGUAAAUUGCUUAUAAAAGAGCUUCAGGCACAGAUCCAGCAGGCCUGUACAGAGGAGAUCCAGGAAGAAGAAGUACUACAUGAGGAUUAUAUUAGGCGGGUGCUACAGCUUCGUAAGGGUCACAUAUCCUCCCUCACAGAGCUUGUAAGUCCUGCUUACUCUUACCUGUGGGUUCGUCCUUCCGUCUCCAGCCAGCAGGUGGCAGCACUCACUGCAGAGGCCCAGCACAUUGCUUCAUUAGUGCUCAAAUUAAUAGCUGAGCGAGGUGAGGAGCUGGCUGUGGAUCAACUCAGUAAAGAUCUGAAGACUCUGGCUAAGCAAACUAAAGCUACCAAAUACAGAGAAGUGAUGAAGCUGUUACGUCUGGCUCUCAGUGGUCUGCAGCAAGGGCCCAGUGUAGCUGAGAUGAUGGUGUCUUUGGGGCCCGCAGAGAUCAGCCAUCGAUUCCAGAAACUUCUGCUGCUUUCAGAGACUAGUUAAAGACUGAACACUCUGUAAACUCGAAAGACUUUAACAGCAACAAAUGUGCUGCUGUUAAAGACAUGGCCUGUAUGUUGGGAGUUAUGUGCAACCACCUGGUGAUUCUGCCAAAGCUCACUGGGACACAUUUAAAAUGAACUGCAACUCACAGAUAUAAGUUAUCUUGAAUAAUACUUGAAUUAUUAUAAACAUUUUAUAAAAUAAUG